CGCAUCCCGUAUGAUCACUGAAGUAAAGCAAUGUUAAGCCUGGUCAGUACCUAGAUGAGUGACCACUUGGGAAUACCUGG